GACGAACGCUGGCGGCGUGCUUAACACAUGCAAGUCGAACGAUGAAGCCGGAGCUUGCUCCGGUGGAUUAGUGGCGAACGGGUGAGUAACACGUGAGCAAUCUGGCCUUGACUCUGGGAUAACUGCGGGAAACUGUAGCUAAUACCGGAUACGACACCUAGGGGCAUCCCGGGGUGUGGAAAGAAUUUCGGUCAAGGAGUAGCUCGCGGCCUAGCAGCCAGUUGGGGGGGUAAUGGCUCACCAAGGCGACGACGGGUAGCCGGCCUGAGAGGGUGAGCGGCCACACUGGGAGCGAGACACGGUCCAGACUCCUACGGGAGGCAGCAGUGGGGAAUAUUGCACAAUGGGCGAAGGCCUGAUGCAACAACGCCGCGUGAGGGAUGCAGGCCUUCGGGUUGUAAACCUCUUUUAGCAGGGAAGAAGCGAAAGUGACGGUACCUGCAGAAAAAGCACCGGCUAACUACGUGCCAGCCGCCGCCGUAA
rnacentral:rRNA from 1 species